UACAGAGGUCCCAAGCGUUGUUCGGAUUCAUUGGGCGUAAAGGGUGUGUAGGUGGCGCCGUAAGUCGGGUGUGAAAUUUCGGAGCUUAACUCCGAAACUGCAUUCGAUACUGCGUGCUUGAGGACUGGAGAGGAGACUGGAAUUAGGUGUAGCAGUGAAAUGCGUAGAGAUCAUGAGGAAGACCAGUGGCGAAGGCGGGUCUCUGGACAGUUCCUGACGCUGAGGCACGAAGGCCAGGGGAGCAAACGGG
rnacentral:rRNA from 1 species